rnacentral:lncRNA from 1 species
GAGAAAGCCCACAAGGAUGUUGCGAAUCUGGGGGAGCCACAUGCUCUUCACACCAAAGCUGAGACAGGCAGCUCUUGCUGGUGCCCUUACAACACACCGCGUGUAACAGAGCCAGUCAUCCCGGGGGCCGCUCUUCCAUCCUGCUAUUUGCUAACACCUUUAUUGCCUCCAGUUAGUUACUCACACCGCUCUCAUUCCCAUCUGUCAAGGAGAGCUCCCUUCCAACAUUCUGUCCUUCUUUGCUUCUACAGAAGAGAUCCUCCUGGUGUGAUUGCAAACCUCAGAGCUGAUACAGAGCUUCGAGAUGAGUAUCUGUACCUUAAGGCAACAGAAGAAGAACAGAGAGUCAAGCACAACCCAGAGUUCCAGUGCCAAAUGAGUCAGUAUGUGAAUUAUCUGCAGUGAAGACUCACCUCAAGACAAGCCCAAAGACCCCCCUGCAGGAAGGAGACUGUGUUUUCCCUCCCAAGCAACGAGCAGCAGAGGGUAUCUUUUCUUGGACAAGCUGAAAUUUGUCUCCUUGUCAGAGGACACGGACGAGGUCAGAGAAGACGUCUGCCUCCCAGAACCAAAGUGCAGAAAUGGUGAUUCUGGUUCAUGACAAGAAUGACGAGUUCUCAUCGGCAGAGCAAUCUAGCAAGACACCAUCUUGCUCACUGGACCAUAAAUUGCAGCUUUGAUUUAAAAAUUAUAUACAGGACUUUUUGAGGCAUGCCAAGGACCCCUUUCCCAUUUUAGUGUCACCAGUGGUUAGUUUGCUUAUUACAUGUGACAUCAUUUUUUAAGAGCCACGAAACUAUGCAAAGAAUAGAAAGACCAUAAUAUGGUCCAAGGGGAUACCACUGCUCAAAAAGCAAAAAUGCCAGUGGAUUAAACAUGUCCUCUGCAUGGGCAGAGGGGCCCUGUGGGCUACCGUCCAUGGCGUCACAAAGAGUCAGACAUGACUGAGUGACUAACACACUGCAGGGAUUAAAAAUAGUAAACUAUUUGAAACCGAAGGAAUGUGAUUGGAAUAUUUCUACAUGUCUUUUCGCUCAAACUUUUUAUUUUGAAAAAUUGAAAAUGUACAGAAAAUUGCAAGUACAUGCAUAUGUCCUUAAUGUUGGUGGUGUUGUUUAGUCACUCAGUCAUUUCCAACUCUUUUUACAACCCCGUGGACUGUAACCUACCAGGCUCCUCUGUCCAUGGGAUUCUCCAGGCAAGAAUCCCACUGGAGUGGGUUGCCAUGCCCUCCUCCAGGGGAUCUCCCUGACCCAGGG